CAGACUGUUACGAAGUAGGGUGAUGCAGCAGAUCUUCGAAUUCAAAUUUUCUCGUUCUCGUUGCGGUGUUUGCCUGCGCUUUCGCGUUCGCACUGUAGCUGUUACGGGAUAAAAGUCCAAAGCGGGUCGCAUCGUUAUUUCAGAUUCGCAAGGCGAUGUUUCUUACCACCGGAUGCAUUUCUUCCGGCCGGAGUUUGUGCGUCACUGAUUGGAGGCACGUCUCAGGGAUAGCUCUUGUCAUCCCGUUGAGUAUCAUGUUCCUGUACUUUGCAAAGAAUACGUCGUUUGUUUGUGUAUCAAACGGCCAGUGAUUUGAUCUGAAUUGGCCGUGUCGUUCUUGGAUGUAAUUCCGCCCAGUUUUCUCAGUGCACAAACAUAAAAUAUGGUGAGUUGCAAUGA